AUAAGAGAGAGACAGAAAAAAGAAAAAAAUCAGGAAGCAACAAAAGCUCUAUUUCUCUCUCUCUGAGUACUAAAUAGAAGAGAAGAGAAGAGAAGAGAAUCCUUUUCUUUCCAUUUACGUCCACAGAUCUCCAUAUUCCUACACACCAAACCCUAGUUUUCUCUCUCUACAGCUAUCUAUUCCUUUCUUUAUCUCUCUGAAUUUUUAAAAGCCUUUCGAUCGAAUUUUUUAAUAUAUAAGAAUAUAUAUUUUUUUAAAAUUUGUAUUUGAUGAUUCUAGAAGAACCUCAAUGAAUCUAUCCACCUUCAUGGACCGCCACCGCCACCGCCGCCGCCGCCGUCCAUCUUACGAUGCCUGAGCUGCGCCAGAGAAGAAAUCGGACGCUUAAGAAACCUAGCCUGAACCCGAAUCAGAAUCCGAUUAAGCGCACUGUACAGACUCGACAACAAAGAAAAGAGAAAUCGGUCGCUGUUGAUGAUAAAAACAAAAUUAACAAUAAUAUUCUGAAACUUGAUACAACGACACCGUUUAAGGAUUUUAAAGAGGAGGUUGCAGAGAAGUCCAUGGAUGAGUACGAUAGCGGCGGUCGCAGCGGCGAUAAAGGCGCCGGCGCUGAAGAUGAAGGAAGUACCGCUCCACUUCCUGAGAAGGUUCAAGUUGGGGGCUCCCCGUUAUACAAAAUAGACAGAAAACUGGGUAAAGGAGGUUUUGGACAAGUAUAUGUUGGCCGCCGCAUUAGUCCCACAGCUUCUGGAGCUGCUUUGGUAGCACUGAAAUUUGAGCACAGAAGUAGCAAAGGAUGCAAUUAUGGACCACCCUAUGAGUGGCAAGUUUACAAUGCACUUGGAGGAAGCCAUGGUGUACCACGAGUUCAUUACAAAGGCCGACAAGGUGACUACUAUGUCAUGGUAAUGGAUAUGCUUGGACCUAGUUUAUGGGAUGUUUGGAAUAACAAUUCCCACACGAUGUCCAUUGAAAUGGUUGCUUGCAUUGCCAUUGAAGCAAUAUCUAUACUUGAGAAGAUGCACUCGAAAGGAUAUGUACAUGGGGAUGUAAAACCUGAAAAUUUUUUGCUUGGCCCCCCUGGAACUCCAGAAGAAAAAAAGCUGUUUCUUGUUGAUCUUGGAUUAGCAACCAGAUGGCGAGAUAGUUCAACUGGCCUGCACGUGGAAUAUGAUCAACGUCCAGAUGUUUUUAGGGGAACAGUGCGGUAUGCCAGUGUUCAUGCUCAUCUUGGUAGAACUGGUAGCAGGAGAGAUGACUUAGAGUCUCUUGCCUACACACUCAUUUUUCUUCUCCGUGGUCGACUGCCCUGGCAAGGAUAUCAGGGGGAAAAUAAAGGAUUCCUAGUUUGUAAGAAGAAGAUGGCCACUUCCCCAGAAACUUUGUGUUGCUUCUGUCCUCAACCUUUCCGACAGUUUGUUGAGUACGUGGUAAAUUUGAAGUUCGACGAGGAACCGAAUUAUGCAAAAUAUAUAUCUCUUUUUGACGGGAUUGUAGGUCCAAAUCCAGAUAUUCGGCCAAUAAACACUGAUGGGGCUCAGAAGCUCAUAUAUCAGGUUGGACAUAAGAGGGGACGAUUGACAAUGGAGGAGGAAGAAGAUGAACAACCAAAGAAAAAGGUACGGAUGGGAAUGCCUGCAACUCAAUGGAUCAGUGUUUACAAUGCUCGUCGUCCAAUGAAGCAGAGAUAUCACUACAAUGUGGCUGAUAUGAGGCUCUCACAACACAUAGAGAAAGGAAACGAAGAUGGGUUAUUUAUCAGCAGUGUGGCUUCUUGCUCAAACUUAUGGGCCUUAAUUAUGGAUGCGGGAACUGGCUUCACUGCUCAAGUGUAUGAGCUUUCACCUUACUUCCUGCACAAGGAAUGGAUAAUGGAACAGUGGGAGAAGAAUUUCUACAUCAGUGCUAUAGCUGGAGCUAAUAAUGGGAGCUCAUUAGUUGUGAUGUCUAAAGGAACCCAGUAUCUACAGCAGUCCUAUAAAGUUAGUGACUCAUUCCCUUUCAAGUGGAUUAAUAAGAAAUGGAGAGAGGGUUUUUAUGUCACUGCUAUGGCCACUGCUGGAAGUAGAUGGGCAAUUGUUAUGUCUCGUGGGGCUGGAUUUUCUGACCAGGUUGUGGAGCUUGAUUUCUUAUAUCCUAGUGAAGGAAUUCAUAGAAGGUGGGAUAGUGGUUACCGCAUUACUUCAACUGCUGCAACUUGGGAUCAGGCUGCUUUUGUUCUUAGCGUGCCCCGAAGAAAACCGGCAGAUGAAACCCAAGAGACACUUCGAACUUCUGCUUUUCCUAGCACACAUGUCAAGGAGAAAUGGGCAAAGAAUCUUUACAUUGCAUCUGUUUGCUAUGGUCGAACUGUCUCAUGAACAGCUGAAAUUUUGGACGGCCUUGGUGCUAUCAUGACCAUGCCUGUGUACUGCUUAGAAGAGAAUUCUCUCCACUUAUGGCCCUUCUCUGAGAGUCAAGCAUCUGCACAAGUCAAAUUGAUGCAUCACGGCAUUUUGGAGUCUAUGAUAUAGUGUUAUGCCUACUGAUUAAUCACAUAGUUAUUAUGUUUGAAUGGUGGGAGCAUACGACUAUUUGCUGGUGGCAUAAUCGGCUGCUAUGAUGAUUAUGAGAUUAUUCUAAAUUGUCCCCUUAGCUUAAUCCAUUCAUCAUUAGUCAGUGUUGCCACAUUGUUUUCGAGAACUCAUUCUGCUUUUGGAUGCAUAUCGCUCGAUAAGAUGAGCAUAUUAGAAGUUGGUGUAUGACAGAGAUCCACUGUUAAAUUGUUAGUAUUUGUGAUCAAGAUUGAGGCUGAAAUUUUGUUGGCAUGCCUCUUUGGUCGACAACUUUGUCAAUACCAAGGAACCAAGGACCGUUUCACAUUCAGCCUGUGUUUCUAGUUUCUAGAGCAUUUAACCGGUAACGUUGCUAAUUUUUCUUUGUUGGCUUGGUAUUUGUACUUGGCCUGCUUGGUAUUAAUUUUGGAUCUGAUAUGCAAUUUAAUUGCUUAACUGUCGAGUUAUAUGUGUUGAAACUGCGUGCUUGGUUUAGUGAGUAGUCUUCAUACUGAUGGUAUCACAUUCUUUAUCUUUCAUUCUGUUGGGAAGAUCUGAUGGCAUGAUGGCCACUGGUUUUGGUUUCUGUGCAGUCAUGAAGGUCCCAAUUAGCUGUAAUAUGAGCCAUUCAACGAGCCUUAAAAAUAAUAUGAGCAUUUGUGGGUUUGGAGCAAUGAUUGCACAAACUGAGACAUCCACUUUCUUAAGAUUAGCACUUUGGUCAUUGAAAAGGCUGGUGCAUUUGACGUCACAAAGCUCAUACUGUAAUGCUCAUACUACAACUGCUUGGGAGCUUUGUAGCUUUGCAGAAACCAUAACUAAUCACCAUUAGUUUUUUAAUUUUUAAUUUUAAUUUUUUUUUAAAGACCUUAAGCAAUUAAGGAGUUCUGGUAUAAAAAUGGUUUAUCAGGUGAGCCAUGGACUGAUAUUAUGAGUGAGCCAUCUUGUUAAAUGCUUUCCUGAGUGGCUAGUGUGGUUCUCUUAACAGUAUUUUACCUUUAUUUGCUUGCUUACGCCACUGGAGUAUGUAUUAUUGUCAUGCUGUAGAGACAGAAUAGAGGUGGAUGUGGGGUGUGGUCUCAGUUUUGGUCUGCAAAGAUGUGGACUUCAUUAAGCUUGCAGCUAUUGCUCACAUGCUCAGGUUCGUCAGGCCUUGGGGUUAUGUAUCAAUACAGGUGCAAGCCUAGCUUUGCUGAGUAAAAGUAAUGGUACUUGCAGAAAUGAAGGGGCUGAGAUGGAUCUCUAGUCGGUUCACUCAAAAAGCAGCAAUAAAUUUUUUAAAGUUGGUCUGGUUUUAUUAGCAGUUAUCUAGUUUCAAAAUUUGUAAAGUUGGCCUAUGUGAGCACUAACUAUCCUGUAAUCUGUCAUUUCACAGGGUUUCUCCCUCCCCCACCCCCUUAUCAUUUGGCUCAUUUUGGCCAAAUGGCUUCUGGUUCUACUUAUCAAAUAAAUCGAACUCAGAAAUUUGAAUUUAAA